rnacentral:rRNA from 1 species
AGUGAACGCUGGCGGUAGGCCUAACACAUGCAAGUCGAACGGCAGCACAGUAAGAGCUUGCUCUUACGGGUGGCGAGUGGCGGACGGGUGAGGAAUACAUCGGAAUCUACUUUUUCGUGGGGGAUAACGUAGGGAAACUUACGCUAAUACCGCAUACGACCUACGGGUGAAAGCAGGGGAUCUUCGGACCUUGCGCGAUUCAAUGAGCCGAUGUCGGAUUAGCUAGUUGGCGGGGUAAAGGCCCACCAAGGCGACGAUCCGUUGCUGGUCUGAGAGGAUGAUCAGCCACACUGGAACUGAGACACGGUCCAGACUACUACGGGAGGCAGCAGUGGGGAAUAUUGGACAAUGGGCGCAAGCCUGAUCCAGCCAUACCGCGUGGGUGAAGAAGGCCUUCGGGUUGUAAAGCCAUUUUGUUGGGAAAGAAAAGCAGCAGGCUAAUACCCCGCUGUUCUGACGGUACCCAAAGAAUAAGCACCGGCUAACUUCGUG